rnacentral:rRNA from 1 species
GAUGAACGCUGGCGGCGUGCCUAAUACAUGCAAGUCGAGCGAACAGACGAGGAGCUUGCUCCUCUGACGUUAGCGGCGGACGGGUGAGUAACACGUGGAUAACCUACCUAUAAGACUGGGAUAACUUCGGGAAACCGGAGCUAAUACCGGAUAAUAUAUUGAACCGCAUGGUUCAAUAGUGAAAGACGGUUUUGCUGUCACGUAUAGAUGGAUCCGCGCCGCAUUAGCUAGUUGGUAAGGUAACGGCUUACCAAGGCAACGAUGCGUAGCCGACCUGAGAGGGGGAUCGGCCACACUGGAACUGAGACACGGUCCAGACUCCUACGGGAGGCAGCAGUAGGGAAUCUUCCGCAAUGGGCGAAAGCCUGACGGAGCAACGCCGCGUGAGUGAUGAAGGUCUUCGGAUCGUAAAACUCUGUUAUUAGGGAAGAACAAAUGUGUAAGUAACUAUGCACGUCUUGACGGUACCUAAUCAGAAAGCCACGGCUAACUACGUG